rnacentral:tRNA from 1 species
GUCCUAGUAGUAUAAACUAAUACAUUGGUCUUGUAAACCACUAAUGGAGCAUCACACCUCCCCAGGACU